rnacentral:rRNA from 1 species
AAGGUGGGGAUGACGUCAAGUCCUCAUGGCCUUUAUGCCCAGGGCUACACACGUGCUACAAUGGCAGGUACAGAGGGCUGCGAAGCCGCGAGGUGGAGCGAAUCCCAGAAAACCUGUCUCAGUCCGGAUUGAAGUCUGCAACUCGACUUCAUGAAGGCGGAAUCGCUAGUAACCGCGAAUCAGCAGGUCGCGGUGAAUACGUUCCCGGGCCUU